rnacentral:rRNA from 1 species
AUUGAACGCUGGCGGCAUGCUUUACACAUGCAAGUCGAACGGUAACAGGCCGCAAGGUGCUGACGAGUGGCGAACGGGUGAGUAAUGCAUCGGAACGUGCCCAGUCGUGGGGGAUAACUACUCGAAAGAGUAGCUAGUACCGCAUACGAUCUAUGGAUGAAAGCGGGGGACCGUAAGGCCUCGCGCGAUUGGAGCGGCCGAUGUCAGAUUAGGUAGUUGGUGGGGUAAAGGCUCACCAAGCCAACGAUCUGUAGCUGGUCUGAGAGGACAACCAGCCACACUGGGACUGAGACACGGCCCAGACUCCUACGGGAGGCAGCAGUGGGGAAUUUUGGACAAUGGGCGCAAGCCUGAUCCAGCAAUGCCGCGUGCAGGAAGAAGGCCUUCGGGUUGUAAACUGCUUUUGUACGGAACGAAACGGCUCUGGUUAAUACCCGGGGCUAAUGACGGUACCGUACGAAUAAGCACCGGCUAACUACGUG